rnacentral:rRNA from 1 species
GGCGGACGGGUGAGUAAUGCUUGGGAAUCCGCCCAGUAGUGGGGGACAACACGAGGAAACUCGUGCUAAUACCGCAUACGUCCUACGGGAGAAAGUGGGGGAUCUUCGGACCCCACGCUAUUGGAUGAGCCCUAGUCGGAUUAGCUUGUUGGUGGGGUAAAGGCUCACCAAGGCGACGAUCCGUAGCUGGUCUGAGAGGACGAUCAGCCACACUGGGACUGAGACACGGCCCAG